rnacentral:rRNA from 1 species
GAUGAACGCUAGCGGCAGGCUUAAUACAUGCAAGUCGAGGGACAGCACAGGUAGCAAUACUGGGUGGUAACCGGCAAACGGGUGCGGAACACGUACACAACCUUCCUUAAAGUGGGGGAUAGCCCAGAGAAAUUUGGAUUAAUACCACGUAAUAUAGUUGAAUGGCAUCAUUUGAUUAUUAUAGCUACGGAGCUUAAGGAUGGAUGUGCGGCUGUUUAGAUAGUUGGCGGGGUAACAACCCACAAAGUCUACGAUCAGUAGCUGAUGUGAGAGCAUGAUCAGCCACACGGGCACUGAGACACGUGCCCGACUCCUACGGGAGGCAGCAGUAAGGAAUAUUGGCCAAUGGACGCAAGUCUGAACCAGCCAUGCCGCGUGAAGGAUUAAGGUCCUCUGGAUUGUAAACUUCUUUUAUUUGGGACGAAAAAGGGCCUUUCUAGGUCAACUGACGGUACCAGAUGAGUAAGCACCGGCUAACUCCGUGCCAGCCGCCGCCGUAAGAC